GUCAGACUCCUACGGGAGGCAGCAGUGAGGAAUAUUGGUCAAUGGGCGGAAGCCUGAACCAGCCAAGUCGCGUGAGGGAAGAAGGCCCUGCGGGUCGCAGACCUCUUUGGACGGGGAGCAAGGCCGCCGACGUGUCGGCGGAAGGAGAGUACCCGUAGAAAAAGCAUCGGCUAACUCCGUGCCAGCAGCCGCGGUAAUACGGAGGAUGCGAGCGUUAUCCGGAUUUAUUGGGUUUAAAGGGUGCGCAGGCGGCGCUUUAAGGGCGGGGGAAAAGCCCGGGGGCCAACCCCCGGCGAGCCGUUGAAACUGGCGGGCUGGAGUUGGAGAGAAGUACGCGGAAUGCGCGGUGUAGCGGUGAAAUGCUUAGAUAUCGCGCAGAACCCCGAUUGCGAAGGCAGCGUACCGGCUCCACACUGACGCUGAGGCACGAAAGCGUGGGUAUCGAACAGGAUUAGAUACCCCCGUA
rnacentral:rRNA from 1 species